rnacentral:lncRNA from 1 species
AUGCAGUCUCUGAAGAUCAUAUGGAGCAAGGUUCUGGAUGUGAUGGACUGGUCUAUGGAGGUAAUCCCUAAUUUUCCUGUUUCCCCGCUGGUUCCGUCCAGCCCUGAUUCCCCUGUAUACCCUCUCAGUCUCCCACUCCUACCUCCUCCAGUCAUUUCCUCUGCUCCAUUUCCGCUGGUUCCGCCCAGCCCUGAGUUUUCUGUUUCUCCGCUGGUUCCGCCCAGCCCUGAGUUUUCUGUUUCUCCGCUGGUUCCGCCCAGCCCUGAGUUUUCUGUUUCUCCGCUGGUUCCGCCCAGCCCUGAGUUUCCUGUAUCUCCGCUGGUUCCGCCCAGCCCUGAGUUUCCUGUGUCUCCGCUGGUUCCGCCCAGCUCUGAAUCUUCUGUUUCUCCGCUGGUUCCGCCCAGCCCUGAGUUUCCUGUGUCUCCGCUGGUUCCGCCCAGCUCUGAAUCUUCUGUUUCUCCACUGGUUCCGCCCAGCCCUGAGUUUCCUGUGUCUCCGCUGGUUCCGCCCAGCCCUGAGUUUCCUGUGUCUCCGCUGGUUCCGCCCAGCCCUGAGUUUCCUGUGUCUCCGCUGGUUCCGCCCAGCCCUGAGUUUCCUGUGUCUCCGCUGGUUCCGCCCAGCCCUGAGUUUCCUGUGUCUCCGCUGGUUCCGCCCAGCUCUGAAUCUUCUGUGUCUCUGCUGGUUCCGCCCAGCUCUGAAUCUUCUGUGUCUCCGCUGGUUCCGCCCAGCUCUGAAUCUUCUGUGUCUCCGCUGGUUCCGCCCAGCUCUGAAUCUUCUGUGUCUCCGCUGGUUCCGCCCAGCUCUGAAUCUUCUGUGUCUCCGCUGGUUCCGCCCAGCUCUGAAUCUUCUGUGUCUCCGCUGGUUCCGCCCAGCUCUGAAUUUUCUGUGUCUCCGCUGGUUCCGCCCAGCCAUGAUUUUUCUGUUUCACCACUGGUUCCGCCCAGCCCUGAAUCUUCUGUAUCUCCUGUGUUCCCUCCCGGCCUCCCUCUCCCGCCUCCUCCCAAACCUGCUGGUCCCUCUACUCCUCUUUCGCUGUCCAGUCCUGAUCCUCCUGUCCUUCCUCCCAUCCUUCUCCUCUCUCCUCCUCCUAGACCAGCCAGUUCCUCGCCAUCCCUGCUGGUGCCAGUCAGUCCCGCAGCUCACCCUCAGUCCGCGCCAUCGGGGCGCGAUGGUUCGCCGCUGGACUGCCAGUCUCCAGCUCCGCCUUGGCGCGUUAAGGCCCUGUCUCCGCCUCCAGCCUCCGAGCCCUGGACUCCUCCUCGGUCCUUCGACCCAGCGGCUCCGCCUUGGCUCUUAGCUCCCCCGUCUCCACCGUGGCCUGUCAUCCCACCUGCUCCACCGGGCUCCCUCGUCCCUCCGGCUCCACCUUGGUCAGUCGUCGACCAUCCGCCGCCUCGGGACUCCACUCCUCUGGUUCCACCUCGUCACUCCAUCCCUCCGGCUCUGUCAGGCUCCUCCUUCCCUCCGGUUCCACCUCCAUCCUCGGUCACUCCGGCUCCACAGCGGUCUGCCAGGACCCCGCCUCCACCUUGGUCGCCUGAGCCUUCAGCUCCACCUAGGCCCUCCGGAUCCUCGUCGUCACCCUGGCUCUGC